UUUUAAACCCUUUGUACUGAAAAAUAUUAUGAAUAAACAAUUCAAAAUACAACUUUCAACAACGGAUCUCUUGGCUCUCGCAUCGAUGAAGAACGCAGCGAAAUGCGAUACGUAAUGUGAAUUGCAGAAUUCAGUGAAUCAUCGAAUCUUUGAACGCAUAUUGCGCUCUUUGGUAUUCCGAAGAGCAUGCUUGUUUGAGUAUCAGUAAACACCUCAAAGCUUUUGAUUUUUUUGAAAGUUUUGGACUUGAGCGAUCCCAACACCAAUCUUUACAGAUCGGCGGCGGGUUGCUUGAAAUGCAGGUGCAGCUGGACAUUCUCCUGAGCUAAAAGCAUAUUUAUUUAGUCCCGUCAAACGGAUUAUUACUUUUGCUGCAGCUAAUAUAAAGGGAGUUUGACCGUAUUGGCUGACUGAUGCAGGAUUUCACAAGGGUCGGCAACGAUUCUUGUAAAACUCGAUCUCAAAUCAAGUAAGACUACCCGCUGAACUUAA
rnacentral:rRNA from 1 species